rnacentral:rRNA from 1 species
UAUAAUUUAAGGUCUAAUCUGCCCACUGAGGAGUUAAAUGGCCGCGGUAUUUUGACCGUGCAAAGGUAGCAUAAUCAUUAGUUUCUUAAUUAGAAGCUGGAAUGAAUGAUUGGAUGAGAAAAUAACUGUCUCAAAUUAAUUUAGUUUGAAUUUUAUAUUUAAGUUAAAAAGCUUAAAUUUAAUUAAAAGACGAGAAGACCCUAUAGAGUUUAAUUUUAAAUUUAAAUUUUAAAUUAUUGAUUUUAUUGUUAAAAUUUAUUUUAAAAAUUUUGUUGGGGUGAUAGAAAAAUUUAAUUAACUUUUUUUAAAUAUUUACAUGAAUUAAUG